rnacentral:lncRNA from 1 species
GUUGUCGUGUACUAACUAAAUAUGUAAACUUGUAUUCAAACUAGUCACGAUUCUAUGGUUCGAGCUCGGUUCGCGUAAACUAUCUAAACUAGCGUAUAUAUAUGAAAGUUCAACGCGUUGUUAAACUUUACCGGCGUUGACUUGUCGACCCGAAACCCACACUUGAAUCUGACCGAGUUGCACCAUAUCAAGAUACGAGCCACAAAUCUGAACCCGAACAAUUCCGUUGACUACUGUUGACUGGCUUGACUGUGUUGACUCGAGUUGACUCGGGUUUGAC